rnacentral:rRNA from 1 species
UACGUAGGGUGCGAGCGUUAAUCGGAAUUACUGGGCGUAAAGCGUGCGUAGGCGGUUCGUUAAGUUCGUUGUGAAAGCCCCGGGCUCAACCUGGGAAUGGCAAUGGAAACUGGCGGGCUGGAGUAUGGCAGAGGGGGGUGGAAUUCCGCGUGUAGCAGUGAAAUGCGUAGAGAUGUGGAGGAACACCGGUGGCGAAGGCGGCAUCCUGGACCGGCAUUGACGCUGAGGCGCGAAAGCUAGGGGAGCAAACGGG